rnacentral:rRNA from 1 species
UACGUAGGGGGCAAGCGUUGUCCGGAUUUAUUGGGCGUAAAGGGCGCGUAGGCGGCUACGCACGUCCGUUGUGAAAUCGCUCGGCUCAACUGGGCGGGGUCAGCGGAUACGGCGUAGCUGGAGCAAGCUAGGGGGCAAUGGAAUUCCCGGUGUAGUGGUGGAAUGCGUAGAUAUCGGGAGGAACACCAGUGGCGAAGGCGGUUGCCUGGAGCUUUGCUGACGCUGAUGCGCGAAAGCGUGGGGAGCGAGUCCGG